GCGGAUAUGGUUUAGUGGUAGAACGCGUCCUUGCCAAGGACGAGAUCGGGGUUCGAU
rnacentral:tRNA from 1 species